rfam:Myotis brandtii contig236143, whole genome shotgun sequence.
GGAAAUUCUCAGGUGACACACCCUGGAAUCGGGCUCCCUUCUCUCUUGUUCCAGGUGCAUCAGCCAAGAACCACA